rnacentral:rRNA from 1 species
GACGAACGCUGGCGGCGUGCUUAACACAUGCAAGUCGAACGGAAAGGCCCUGCUUUUGUGGGGUGCUCGAGUGGCGAACGGGUGAGUAACACGUGAGUAACCUGCCCUUGACUUUGGGAUAACUUCAGGAAACUGGGGCUAAUACCGGAUAGGAGCUCCUGCUGCAUGGUGGGGGUUGGAAAGUUUCGGCGGUUGGGGAUGGACUCGCGGCUUAUCAGCUUGUUGGUGGGGUAGUGGCUUACCAAGGCUUUGACGGGUAGCCGGCCUGAGAGGGUGACCGGCCACAUUGGGACUGAGAUACGGCCCAGACUCCUACGGGAGGCAGCAGUGGGGAAUAUUGCACAAUGGGCGGAAGCCUGAUGCAGCAACGCCGCGUGCGGGAUGACGGCCUUCGGGUUGUAAACCGCUUUCGCCUGUGACGAAGCGUGAGUGACGGUAAUGGGUAAAGAAGCACCGGCUAACUACGUGCCAGCAGCCGCGGUGAUACGUAGGGUGCGAGCGUUGUCCGGAUUUAUUGGGCGUAAAGGGCUCGUAGGUGGUUGAUCGCGUCGGAAGUGUAAUCUUGGGGCUUAACCCUGAGCGUGCUUUCGAUACGGGUUGACUUGAGGAAGGUAGGGGAGAAUGGAAUUCCUGGUGGAGCGGUGGAAUGCGCAGAUAUCAGGAGGAACACCAGUGGCGAAGGCGGUUCUCUGGGCCUUUCCUGACGCUGAGGAGCGAAAGCGUGGGGAGCGAACAGGCUUAGAUACCCUGGUAGUCCACGCUGUAAACGGUGGGUACUAGGUGUGGGGUCCAUUCCACGGGUUCCGUGCCGUAGCUAACGCUUUAAGUACCCCGCCUGGGGAGUACGGCCGCAAGGCUAAAACUCAAAGGAAUUGACGGGGCCCCGCACAAGCGGCGGAGCAUGCGGAUUAAUUCGAUGCAACGCGUAGAACCUUACCUGGGUUUGACAUGGAUCGGGAGUGCUCAGAGAUGGGUGUGCCUCUUUUGGGGUCGGUUCACAGGUGGUGCAUGGCUGUCGUCAGCUCGUGUCGUGAGAUGUUGGGUUAAGUCCCGCAACGAGCGCAACCCUUGUUCACUGUUGCCAGCACGUUAUGGUGGGGACUCAGUGGAGACCACCGGGGUCAACUCGGAGGAAGGUGGGGAUGACGUCAAGUCAUCAUGCCCCUUAUGUCCAGGGCUUCACGCAUGCUACAAUGGCUGGUACAGAGAGUGGCGAGCCUGUGAGGGUGAGCGAAUCUCGGAAAGCCGGUCUCAGUUCGGAUUGGGGUCUGCAACUCGACCUCAUGAAGUCGGAGUCGCUAGUAAUCGCAGAUCAGCAACGCUGCGGUGAAUACGUUCCCGGGGCU